rnacentral:rRNA from 1 species
UACGGGGGGGGCAAGCGUUGUUCGGAAUUACUGGGCGUAAAGGGCUCGUAGGCGGUUUGUCGCGUCUGCUGUGAAAACCUAAGGCUCAACCUUGGGCUUGCAGUGGGUACGGGCAGACUAGAGUGCGGUAGGGGUGACUGGAAUUCCUGGUGUAGCGGUGGAAUGCGCAGAUAUCAGGAGGAACACCGAUGGCGAAGGCAGGUCACUGGGCCGCAACUGACGCUGAGGAGCGAAAGCAUGGGGAGCGAACAGG